rnacentral:lncRNA from 1 species
CAAGGUCUUUUCGUGUUCCUUCGUUAUCCAACCCCGAGGGAGCUUUUUCAUUCCGUCUGACAAAAUGCAUCCAUGAAAAUCCGAGCCAAAUAUGCCGCUGCAUGCAGCUCAGAGCCCGAAGCACCCAAUAAUAAUGCGCUUGGAUCCUCCUGCGGCGUUCGAGGCGUGUCUUCCGUCAUUGUCACUGAUGCCAUAGUCAGCCGGAAAGCACGCAGGCAAAGACGUUUGCUGCGUUUUCUAUAACGUUCUGUUGCUACCAAGCGAGGAAUUCGCUUCUUUACAACGAACAUCGCAGCCAGGUACAGGCAGUGCCUACGAGCCAUGGCGCUGUCUAUGAUAGGUUUGAAGAAUGACCCGUCCUUUGGGCUGGACUCUAGACGCAGUUGGGUGACUGCGACAUUUCUAUGCCUGUCAUUGAAAACGAUGCUGAUUGGGCAACAUUCGGUUGGCGUACUCUUCUAC